AUCCGGCUGACGAGUCCCAUAUAGGACGAAAUGCACAUCCUGGAU
rnacentral:hammerhead_ribozyme from 1 species